GCUAAAUCGGAGCUAAAAUCCCGGCCAAACGGCCGAAAAACACGAUCGAAACCCAGCGGCGCCGCCGCACCCUUCCUCGGUUUUUGCCUCCGAUGAGGCCCUUCCUGGCCUCCGUUUAAUGCAAUUUUUAUAUCACCGUGAUCACCAUUCUUUUCUCUACAGGUUGAUCGGAGCCGAAUCACCAAAACAUGAACUUCACCGGAGAGCCGCCGCACCCGAGAGCACCGCCGCCGUUAAGCUUCGGUUUUUCGUAAUUUUUUGGCCCCCCGAGGACCCUAGAGUUGUUUAAUCGCAAGGAUCGAUGCAAGUGUGACCGGAUUCGGCCGGAAACGGCCGAAAACGGCCAAACCGAGG
rnacentral:lncRNA from 1 species